rnacentral:rRNA from 1 species
ACUUCAGCUAAUACCGUAUACGGCCGAGAGGCGAAAGAUUUAUCGGAGAAGGAUGAGCCCGCGUUGGAUUAGCUAGUUGGUGGGGUAAAGGCCCACCAAGGCGACGAUCCAUAGCUGGUCUGAGAGGAUGAUCAGCCACACUGGGACUGAGACACGGCCCAGACUCCUACGGGAGGCAGCAGUGGGGAAUAUUGGACAAUGGGCGCAAGCCUGAUCCAGCCAUGCCGCGUGAGUGAUGAAGGCCCUAGGGUUGUAAAGCUCUUUCACCGGUGAAGAUAAUGACGGUAACCGGAGAAGAAGCCCCGGCUAACUUCGUGCCAGCAGCCGCGGUAAUACGAAGGGGGCUAGCGUUGUUCGGAUUUACUGGGCGUAAAGCGCACGUAGGCGGACUAUUAAGUCAGGGGUGAAAUCCCGGGGCUCAACCCCGGAACUGCCUUUGAUACUGGUAGUCUUGAGUUCGAGAGAGGUGAGUGGAAUUCCGAGUGUAGAGGUGAAAUUCGUAGAUAUUCGGAGGAACACCAGUGGCGAAGGCGGCUCACUGGCUCGAUACUGACGC